rnacentral:rRNA from 1 species
GGGUUGUGAGGUUAAGCGACUAAGCGUACACGGUGGAUGCCCUGGCAGUCAGAGGCGAUGAAGGACGUGCUAAUCUGCGAAAAGCGUCGGUAAGGUGAUAUGAACCGUUAUAACCGGCGAUGUCCGAAUGGGGAAACCCAGUGUGAUUCGUCACACUAUCGUUAACUGAAUACAUAGGUUAACGAGGCGAACCGGGGGAACUGAAACAUCUAAGUACCCCGAGGAAAAGAAAUCAACCGAGAUUCCCCCAGUAGCGGCGAGCGAACGGGGAGCAGCCCAGAGUCUGAAUCAGCUUGUGUGUUAGUGGAACGGUCUGGAAAGUCCGACGGUACAGGGUGAUAGUCCCGUACACCAAAAUGCACAGGUUGUGAACUCGAAGAGUAGGGCGGGACACGUGGUAUCCUGUCUGAAUAUGGGGGGACCAUCCUCCAAGGCUAAAUACUCCUGACUGACCGAUAGUGAACCAGUACCGUGAGGGAAAGGCGAAAAGAACCCCGGCGAGGGGAGUGAAAAAGAACCUGAAACCGUGUACGUACAAGCAGUGGGAGCACCUUCGGGUGUGACUGCGUACCUUUUGUAUAAUGGGUCAGCGACUUAUAUUCUGUAGCAAGGUUAACCGUAUAGGGGAGCCGCAGGGAAACCGAGUCUUAACUGGGCGUUAAGUUGCAGGGUAUAGACCCGAAACCCGGUGAUCUAGCCAUGGGCAGGUUGAAGGUUGGGUAACACUAACUGGAGGACCGAACCGACUAAUGUUGAAAAAUUAGCGGAUGACUUGUGGCUGGGGGUGAAAGGCCAAUCAAACCGGGAGAUAGCUGGUUCUCCCCGAAAGCUAUUUAGGUAGCGCCUCGUGAACUCAUCUUCGGGGGUAGAGCACUGUUUCGGCUAGGGGGUCAUCCCGACUUACCAACCCGAUGCAAACUACGAAUACCGAAGAAUGUUAUCACGGGAGACACACGGCGGGUGCUAACGUCCGUCGUGAAGAGGGAAACAACCCAGACCGCCAGCUAAGGUACCAAAGUCAUGGUU